rnacentral:rRNA from 1 species
UACGGGGGGGGCAAGCGUUGUUCGGAAUUACUGGGCGUAAAGGGCGCGUAGGCGGCCAGACAAAGUCGAGCGUUAAAUUCCAGGGCUUAACCCUGGGCUGUUGCUCGAUACUAGUCGGCUAGAGUGUGGAAGAGGGUGCUGGAAUUCCCGGUGUAGCGGUGAAAUGCGUAGAUAUCAGGAAGAACACCCGUGGCGAAGGCGGCUCUCUGGGACGGUACUGACGCUGAGACGCGAAAGCGUGGGGAGCGAACAGG